AUCAACCUACUCCACCUUGGGAAAAAGUUCUAAACAGGGAAGCGAGUGAGGCAUGAGCUGCAUCUGGAAAAAGUGAUAGGCUUGGGAUUGACCUAGUGAACUGUAGGCAAAAGCCACUGACCAGAGGCACCGAAGGACAGGGCCACACUGGCCUCUAGGGGCCAUAGACUGGCACACUCUCAGGCAGCCCUGGAAUCUGGUGAGUCUGUUCCACAACUCCCAUGGGGCCUGCAGAGAGCAAGUGUCUCU
rnacentral:lncRNA from 1 species